CUAAGAAUCUUCUGCAAUGGACGAAAGUCUGACAGAGCGACGCCGCGUGGGUGAAGAAGGCCGGAAGGUUGUAAAACCCUUUUCUAUUCGAGGAAUAACCGCAGGAGGCAAUGCCUGCGAGAUGACGGUAGGGUAGGAAUAAGCCCCGGCCAAUUACGUGCCAGCAGCCGCGGUAACACGUAUGGGGCGAGCGUUGUUCGGAAUCAUUGGGCGUAAAGGGCGCGUAGGCGGAUAUGCAAGCUUGGUGUGAAAGACCGCAGCUUAACUGCGGGAGCGCGCUGAGAACUGUGUAUCUAGAGUUCAAGAGGGGAAGCUGGAAUUCCAGGUGUAGGGGUGAAAUCUGUAGAUAUCUGGAAGAACAUCAGUGGCGAAGGCGAGCUUCUGGCUAUGAACUGACGCUGAGGCGCGAAAGCGUGGGGAGCAAACA
rnacentral:rRNA from 1 species